ACGGAAGGCAGCAGUGGGGAAUAUUGCACAAUGGGGGAAACCCUGAUGCAGCGACGCCGCGUGAGUGAAGAAGUUAUUCGUAAUGUAAAGCUCUAUCAGCAGGGAAGAAAAUGACGGUACCUGACUAAGAAGCCCCGGCUAACUACGUGCCAGCAGCCGCGGUAAUACGUAGGGGGCAAGCGUUAUCCGGAUUUACUGGGUGUAAAGGGAGCGUAGACGGUCUGGCAAGUCUGAUGUGAAAGGCAGGGGCUCAACUCCUGGACUGCAUUGGAAACUGUCAGUCUUGAGCGUCGGAGAGGUAAGCGGAAUUCCUAGUGUAGCGGUGAAAUGCGUAGAUAUUAGGAGGAACACCAGUGGCGAAGGCGGCUUACUGGACGAUAACUGACGUUGAGGCUCGAAAGCGUGGGGAGCAAACAGGAUUAGAUACCCUGGUA
rnacentral:rRNA from 1 species